rnacentral:rRNA from 1 species
UUCCGGUUGAUCCUGCCGGAGGUCACUGCUAUUGGGAUUCGACUAAGCCAUGCGAGUCGAGAGGGUUCGGCCCUCGGCGAACUGCUCAGUAACACGUGGAUAAUUUGCCCUUAGGUGGAGGAUAACCUCGGGAAACUGAGAAUAAUACUCCAUAGAUCUAGGAUGCUGGAAUGCACUUAGAUUGAAAGUUCCGGCGCCUAAGGAUAAGUCUGCGGACUAUCAGGUUGUAGUCAGGGUAAAGACCUGACUAGCCUACGACGGAUACGGGUUGUGAGAGCAAUAACCCGGAGACGAUAUCUGAGACACGAUAUCGGGCCCUACGGGGCGCAGCAGGCGCGAAACCUUCGCACUGUGCGAAAGCGCGAUGAGGGGAUCCCAAGUGCUUGCUCGUUAGAGUAAGCUGUUUUUAUGUCUAAAAAGCAUAGAGAGUAAGGGCUGGGUAAGACGGGUGCCAGCCGCCGCGGUAAUACCUGCAGCUCAAGUGGUGACCACUAUUAUUGGGCCUAAAACGUCCGUAGCCGGUUUGGUAAAUGCCUGGGUAAAUCGUGUAGCUUAACUAUACGAAUUCCGGGUAGACUGCUAAACUUGAGACCGGGUGAGGCUAGAGGUACUCCUGGGGUAGAGGUGAAAUUCUGUAAUCCUGGGGGGACCACCAGUGGCGAAGGCGUCUAGCUAGAACGGGUCUGACGGUCAGGGACGAAGCCCUGGGGCGCGAACCGGAUUAGAUACCCGGGUAGUCCAGGGUGUAAACGCUGCUUGCUUGAUGUUAGUUGGGCUCCGAGCCCAAUUAGUGUCGGAGAGAAGUUGUUAAGCAAGCUGCCUGGGAAGUACGAUCGCAAGAUUGAAACUUAAAGGAAUUGGCGGGGGAGCACAGCAACGGGUGGAGCGUGCGGUUUAAUUGGAUUCAACGCCGGG